UACGGAGGGGGCAAGCGUUAUCCGGAUUUACUGGGUGUAAAGGGAGCGUAGACGGCGAUGCAAGUCUGAAGUGAAAGGCGGGGGCCCAACCCCCGGACUGCUUUGGAAACUGUAUGGCUGGAGUGCAGGAGAGGUAAGUGGAAUUCCUAGUGUAGCGGUGAAAUGCGUAGAUAUUAGGAGGAACACCAGUGGCGAAGGCGGCUUACUGGACUGUAACUGACGUUGAGGCUCGAAAGCGUGGGGAGCAAACAGG
rnacentral:rRNA from 1 species